UGGCGCUCCAAACCGUUAGACCUGACAAGGUUGCCCUCCCUCUCUCGCGACGCCUUUCACAACAUGUAUUAUAACUCUUUCCACCAAUUUCAAAUAGUGCGGCUUAAAAGAUGAAGGAGAGCUAAACAAACCAGAAAGAAAAGAAAGAAAAAAUCCGCACCCAAUUUCGUAUCUCCAGUUGGUAAAGAAUGUAGCUGUCCGCUAUUUUGGAACGUCUCGUAUUUCUGAGUCUUUCACAAUGUGAAGUACUUCAUAAAGACAGUAAAAUCCUCUCAAGAUCAUAAAGAUGCUUUUGAAUCCAUGGUUUCCCAAAGGAGGGAAAGCGCCAGGACAUUAAUAUAAUUCAUGUGUAGCCUUUGCUUUGCCUUUAAGUGGACGAGCGUACUUUGAGCUCUUUGCCUUUAAGUAGACGAGCGUAAUUUGCACUGUUCUAGUUGUUGAGGAGUACAAAAAGAGGAAUAAAACAAUGCCUGCCCACAAGAGAAACUCACGGUCUACACUGCAAAAAUAAAUCCUACAAUUACAAAAAAAACGGUCUUGAAACAUUGUAAAACAUCAUCGAGUAGAAAACAAACGCGGCAUAAGGAAGGUAGUGCAGUGAUGUGGGAAGGAUGGUGAAGGGACCGUGGGCUGGGCUGUUAGAAUGCAAGGGGUGGCAAUUCUCACAUUACUAAUUGUGUGACUUGGGCAAGCUGCUUACCUUUUGUGUGCCUCUAUUUCCUCAUUUGUACAUUGGAGAUAAUAUAUACCUGUAUUAUGAAAAUUAGUGAAUACGUGUAAGGUGCUUAGCGUAUAUUCUGCAGAGACAAGAAAGAUCAAUUUAGGUAUCCAUUUGCAACAUAAUUCCAUAGCCAUGGCUAUUAUCCCUGGGAAGAUUC
rnacentral:lncRNA from 10 species